GACGAACGCUGGCGGCGUGCUUAACACAUGCAAGUCGAACGAUGAUCAGGAGCUUGCUCCUGUGAUUAGUGGCGAACGGGUGAGUAACACGUGAGUAACCUGCCCCUGACUCUGGGAUAAGCGUUGGAAACGACGUCUAAUACUGGAUAUGAUCACUGGCCGCAUGGUCUGGUGGUGGAAAGAUAUUUUGGUUGGGGAUGGACUCGCGGCCUAUCAGCUUGUUGGUGAGGUAAUGGCUCACCAAGGCGACGACGGGUAGCCGGCCUGAGAGGGUGACCGGCCACACCGGGACUGAGACACGGCCCAGACUCCUACGGGAGGCAGCAGUGGGGAAUAUUGCACAAUGGGCGAAAGCCUGAUGCAGCAACGCCGCGUGAGGGAUGACGGCCUUCGGGUUGUAAACCUCUUUUAGUAGGGAAGAAGCGAAAGUGACGGUACCUGCAGAAAAAGCACCGGCUAACUACGUGCCAGCAGCCGCGGUAAUAC
rnacentral:rRNA from 1 species